rnacentral:rRNA from 1 species
AAUGAACGUUGGCGGCGUGGAUUAGGCAUGCAAGUCGAACGGACCUGGUUUUCGGAUCAGGUCAGUGGCGUAAGGGUGAGUAAGGCGACGGCAACCAACCCCAUGGUUGGGCAUAACCGCGGGAAGCUGCGGAUAAUACCCAGCGAUGUUCGUGUCGGGCAUCCGAUGUGAACCAAAGUUUCGACGCCGUGGGACGGGCCGUCGUGGUAUUAGGUUGUUGGCGGGGUAAUGGCCCACCAAGCCUUUGAUGCCUACCGGGCGUGCGAGCGU